UUUUUUCUUUUCUUUUUUUUUUCUUUCGAGGGCUGCAACUGCGGCUUAUGGAAGUUUCCAGGCUAGGGGUUGAAUCCGAGCUGUAGCUUCCGGUUUACACCACAGCCACAGCAAUGCAGGCUCUGAGCCCUGUCUGUGAUCUACACCACAGCUCACAGCAACGCCAGAUCCUUAACCCACUGAACGAGCCCAGGAAGCAAACCUGCCUCCUCAUGGUUACCAGUUGGGAUCAUUACCCCUGAGCCCCAACAGGAACCUCCAUCCCCGCUCUCUGAAGGAGCAGACUGAGGGAGGCUCUGAGGUCAUUGAUGGCUGGCCCGAGGUGUUAAAUAACUUCUUCGAAUACUUCAUACUUUGCCUCCUGCCUGCUAGUGGAAGAGUUCCAAUCUUCCCAUCAGCUUCUUGUUCUUUUAUGAAAUUUUUUUUUUCCUGUGGGAAAAAAGGCCAAAACUCUGCCUAUGAGGCAUGGCUGAAACCACAGAUGAACAGGAAAAAUCAAAAUGGCUUUGCGUUGGCAGAUGCCAAAUGUCAUUGAACAAAGGCAAUUGCAUGCUCAUUUGGAAGGAGCGGAGGGUGAAAGUAAAUGGCAGCUCCAGUGCUUUGUGAUUUUUGCAACUGCCUUCUUUAAUCCUGUUUCCAAUUGAACAGCCUGCUUUAGGUCAGCAGAGUCCUUAGGUUCACAGAGACCUUGUGGGCUCUGUAUCAUGAGCCGGGCUUUGAUCCCCGGGUUCCCUUUUCUGAAGAAUCUGGCGUAACCCCACUGGUAUGGUCUCUUCCAAUGGGAGGAGAAGACCAACUUUAUUUUUAAUCUGUGCAUGUCUGGCCUCUGUCUCAGGGAGUGACAUCACCUCUCAGCAUGAACUUGAACUAAUGGAGGAGGUCAGGAAGAAUGUCAAGCAUCAUCCUUUCCUGAAUCCCACCCCAUCCCCAAAAUGAGCUUUUUAUGAGGUAAAUGAUUUGCUUAUUAGGUAAAGUAAACAGAGACACCAUGUCAAGUUAAAAUGGAACAAGUUUAGAUGCAGAGUGACACUGCACAAACAGCCAGGGCUUGCAAUGUGGCAAGUCCGCUCCAGUGGUGCCCAAACUGUUCAGCCCUAGAGCGCAGAAAGGCUAAGACUGGGAGACAGGAAGGCAUCUGAUUGCAACAUAACUUCACUUUUUAAGCUCUGGAAAUCAGACUCUGAUGAAGAGCUGAAAGUCUCCAGGUGAAUUCUGUCUUUCUAACCACAAUGAAACUGAGGCUCAGGGAAGUUUAGAUGCUUGGCCAAGGUCCUAGAAUAAUUAGCAUCUGAGCCAAGUCUUAUAGCCAGGCUUCUUUGUUAUUAUUGGGGGAGGGGGUUGCUGAAGGCGUCUACCUUUAAGCUUUACAAGGAAAACUCAUCCAUGAUCACAGGAAACAAUCAAAAGUGCUGGGCACAUAGCAGAUGCUCAAGAAAUAGGAGUUCCCAUUGUGGCUCUGUGGUGAUGAACACAACUAGUGUCCAUGAGGAUGCAGGUUUGAUCCCUGGCCUCCAUCAGUGAGUUAAGGAUCUGGCAUUGCCGUGAGCUGUGGUGUAGGUUGCAGAUGCAGCUCGGAUCUGGUGUUGCUGUGGCUGUGGUGUAGGCUGGCAGCUGCAGCUCCAGUUUGACCUCUAGCCUGGGAACCUCCAUAUGCCACAGGCGUGGCCCUAAAGAGGAAAAAAAAAAAGACCAAAAAAAAAAAAUGCAGGUAACUUAGAACAGAAGUAUGGGCUGAUGAAAAAGAGCAAAAGACAUUUUAAAGAGAAAAGGCAUGGAUGGAGCUCAUUCGCCUUCCAAUGCCACUGUAUAGAGCUAGAAAUCAUUACAUGGACAAGAAGGCAGGGCCGUACAAACUGUUUAGGCUCAGGGAGUGACCUGUUUUGAUUAGAGCUUCCGAUGAAGAAGGGUAGAAAUUUGAAGUGAAAGAGUGAGGUCACAUCGGAGAUGACUUAGAAGCUGGGUCUGAGGCUUUGAAUUCCAGGGAAGGGAAGGCAGGACGUGGUGGCAGGAGGGUUUGAACUAGAGGUGGCAGAUGAGAGGGUCAACUCUUGUUCUAGAAGUCCACCUCCUGUGUGAUGGCUUAUUUGCAAAGUGAGGAUAUGGGACUUUCCCUGGAAAAUCCUCCUGAAGAUUAAACGCCAUAGCAUGGGUAAAAAUUACUCUUUGUGAAAUGAGUGGUAAGAAUUUGGCAAAUGAUUGGUCCUAUUUUUAUAAAGGGUAAGAGGAUAGAGUCUACGAACUGCAGCACAAUCCACGUGGUGGUGCUUCUGGGUGAGAUUCUAGAGAUUGAGAACUUGGUUCAUGAGCAUGAAACAAAGACGCUGUCACUGCCAGGAGCCAGCGUGGGUUCCCUGAGACCUCUUCCUAUAGGUGCAAUCUCAUUGCUUUGGUUGUGAGGCUUGCCUAUCUCAACCAGAAAAUGCAGCAGAGGUGGCGUGUCUGGAUUUCAGGGAGACAGCGUGCAAGAUUCUUCUUUCUAACGGGCUGAGGAACAAGAUCGAAGGGGGCAAACAGGACAAGGCAUGGGCUGGCUU
rnacentral:lncRNA from 1 species